GGCGAACGCUGGCGGCGUGCUUAACACAUGCAAGUCGAACGGUGAAGCGCCUUCCUUUUUGGUGGGUGUGGAUGAGUGGCGAACGGGUGAGUAACACGUGAGUAACCUGCCCCCUUCUUCUGGAUAACCGCAUGAAAGUGUGGCUAAUACGGGAUAUUCUGGGUCUGUCGCAUGAUGGGUCUGGGAAAGAUAUUGUUUCGGUGGGGGAUGGGCUCGCGGCCUAUCAGCUUGUUGGUGGGGUGAUGGCCUACCAAGGCGGUGACGGGUAGCCGGCCUGAGAGGGUGGACGGUCACACUGGGACUGAGACACGGCCCAGACUCCUACGGGAGGCAGCAGUGGGGAAUAGUGCACAAUGGGCGCAAGCCUGAUGCAGCGACGCCGCGUGAGGGAUGGAGGCCUGCGGGUUGUGAACCUCCUUCGCCAGUGAAGCAGGCCUGCCUCGUUUGUGGGUGGGUUGACGGUAGCUGGAUAAGAAGCGCCGGCUAACUACGUG
rnacentral:rRNA from 1 species